rnacentral:tRNA from 2 species
GAGAGGGUGGCUGAGCGGUUUAAAGCGGUAGUCUGUAAAACUAUUGUUGCAAGACAUCGUGGGUUCGAAUCCCACCCCUCUCA